CCGGUAGCUCAGUCGGUUAGAGCGUGGUGCUGAUAACACCGAGGCCCCAGGUUCAAUCCCUGCUCGG
rnacentral:tRNA from 1 species